GUGCUUGCUUCGGCAGCACAUAUACUAAAAUUGGAAUGAUAGAGAAGAUUUGCGUGGCCCCUGUGCAAGGAUGACACGAAAAUUCGUGAAAUGUUCCAUAUUAAA